rnacentral:rRNA from 1 species
AGUGAACGCUGGCGGUAGGCCUAACACAUGCAAGUCGAACGGCAGCACAGUAAGAGCUUGCUCUUACGGGUGGCGAGUGGCGGACGGGUGAGGAAUACAUCGGAAUCUACUUUUUCGUGGGGGAUAACGUAGGGAAACUUACGCUAAUACCGCAUAUGACCUACGGGUGAAAGCAGGGGAUCUUCGGACCUUGCGCGAUUGAAUGAGCCGAUGUCGGAUUAGCUAGUUGGCGGGGUAAAGGCCCACCAAGGCGACGAUCCGUAGCUGGUCUGAGAGGAUGAUCAGCCACACUGGAACUGAGACACGGUCCAGACUCCUACGGGAGGCAGCAGUGGGGAAUAUUGCACAAUGGGCGCAAGCCUGAUCCAGCCAUACCGCGUGAGUGAAGAAGGCCUUCGGGUUGUAAAGCCCUUUUGUUGGGAAAGAAAAACAGCAGAUUAAUCCCCCGCUGUUCUGACGGUACCCAAAGAAUAAGCACCGGCUAACUUCGUG